CGGUUAGACGCCCAUAUAAGUUUAUAUGUAAAUGGAGCAACUACUCUAUGGAUUGCGUAUAGUAAGGUUUGUACUAUUGAAGAUAUAAUAGAGUUGUUCUUCUCAUCCCGAGCCGUCUCCUUAUUUGGCCUAUUAACCGCUAAUGUAUUCCCGUGUAAUAAUAUUCCUGUUUUUGAACUGAGGUUCUGUUCAAAUCUUUUAUCUUUUAUCUUAUUCUUUUUGCCUUUUUACUAUGUUUAAUGCUCUGUUUAAUCAGUUUCUCUUGGGGCCUUUGAGUGGGAGACUCUUUGGUACUCUCUGUUCUCAUGUUCUGCAUUUCCAGUUCUAAGAUUCAAAUAAGAGACACUAGGUUGUUCAAAACUCAUCCAAUUUGCAGUAUGUAGCACGACAUGAUUCUUUUGCUCUUGUUUCAUAUAUUGUCAUUGUCAUGCAAGCCAAGACAUAAAACCAGCCCAGAAAGGUAACUGUGAAUCAUUUUCAACCAAACAUUUGCUAUAUAUCAAGCUAAGAUCGAAGAGACAAUACAAGACAAGGAAGACGGUUGUUAUAUUAAAUAAAUAAAGGUAGCUUCUUCUCUAGUGAACGCCAUUCAUUCUGGCUGGUGAGAAUGCAAUAAGUUCUCUAGAAAUGCAGUAUAGAAGACACAAUACAAGACGAGGGUUUAGCUCCCAAUCAUAAUGAGGUCAGUUUCCAAGAUUUCAAAUUUUUUUCGCAAUACCUCAUAGCAAAAUUUAAGAGCCAAAUAAAUGACAUCAAGAACACAACUACAAAGCUGCAUAAGCCCCUGUUGGAAGAGUGAAGAUGCGAUAGCACAUUACUCCAAUGAGUUAAUCAAGUCCUUAAAAUUAAACACCAGCCAAUCAGCUUUGGCUGCAACUGGCUCUCGUAGUUGAACUCCCCCAUAGCAAAUAAACAAGUCCGCACCACCUGGCAUACGAGCCUGCAACAAAAAUUGCAGAGAAGUGCAAAAGCUGUCAAGAGAUUUAUGAUUCAGAAUCCGCAAACAAUUCACAAAAUAGUAUAAACAAGAGCAAACAAGUUUGACAGUCUUGCUUUCAACAUUUUCAAACGCAAAGUUUGCUCAAAUAAUUUGAGUUUUUGCAAACUCUGUUUGUUUGAGUUGUUUUGCAAUAGAUAAAUAACAACAAUUUUUCCUGAAGAUCUACUCUCAGUUUUUUAGAUCUUUUAAAAAUUCAAAAACUGUUAUAAAAUUUUGAAUUAUGGUGGAUGUCCAUAACCACCAAAAGAGUAAUGCUCACUACUCUUCUCCAUUAUCUCCAUAAUUUUCACUACUAUAAUACUUAUGGAGUUAUGAUUGUAACUCCAUAACCUCCCCAUGAUCUUCCUCCAUGAUCUCAAAUGCUUAAUGACAUAUUUUUUCACUUUUCAUACCUAUAUAAAGGCCUUGUAAUAGAUGGAAAGAUCACACAAUUGAAGAAGAAAAUCUCUUCCUUCUCUCUAUCUCUCUAUAUCUCUUAGCUUGUUUUUCCUUGUUAAUUUGAACUAUAUUUUAUAACACGUUAUCAGCACGAUUGUUCUGAGCGACAAUCCUUCUCAACUUUUAGGAAAUGUGUCGCAACAAAGUUGAUCUGUAGCUUCCGAUGUGUAAGCCUGUUGGAUUUCGUAUGGACAGUGAGACAAAU
rnacentral:lncRNA from 1 species